CUAAACCACUGGCAACAAAAGUGAGCACACCCCUAAGUGAAAAUGUCUAAAUUGGGACCAAUUAGCCAUUUUCCCUCCCUGGUGUCAUAUGACUUGUUAGUGUUACAAGGUUUCAGGUGUGAAUGGGGAGCAGGUGUGUUAAAUUUGGUGUCAUCAUUCUCACACUCCCUCAUACUAGUCACUGGAAGUUCAGCAUGGCACCUCAUGGCAAAGAACUCUCUGAGGAUCUGAAAAAAAGAAUCGUUGCUCUACAUAAAGAUGGCCUAGGCUAUAAGAAGAUUGCCAAGACCCUGACACUGAGCUGCAGCACGGUGGCCAAGACCAUACAGCGGUUUAACAGGACAGGGUCCACUCAGAACAGGCCUCGCCAUGGUCGACCAAAGAAGUUGAGUGCAUGUGCUCAGAGUCAUAUCCAGAGGUUGUCUUUGGGAAAUAGAUGUAUGAGUGCUGCCAGCAUUGCUGCAGAGGUUGAAGGGAGGGGGGGGUCAGCCUGUCAGUACUCAGACCAUACGCCGCACACUGCAUGAAAUUGGUCGGCAUGGCUGUCGUCCCAGAAGGAAGCCUCUUCUAAAGAUGAUGCCCAAGAAAGCCCGCAAACAGUUUGCUGAAGACAAGCAGACUAAGGACAUGGAUUACUGGAACCAUGUCCUGUGGUCUGAUGAGACCAAGAUAAACUUAUUUGGUUCAGAUGGUGUCAAUGUAGAUGUACUGUGACAUACUGAAGCAGAGCAUGAUCCCCUCCCUUCGGAGACUGCGCCACAGGGCAGUAUUCCAGCAUGAUAAUGACCCCAAACACACCUCCAAGAUGAUUGCCGCCUUGCUAAAGAAGCUGAGGGUGAAGGUGAUGGACUAAACCCUAUUGAGCAUCUGUGGGGCAUCCUCAAACGGCAGGUGUCUUGUUCUAAGUUGUCUAACACAUCUACAUGGAAAUAUGAGGAAAUGAAGGCUGAAAUUCUGAACUAUCAUCUCGUAUUCAUCUUUAAAUUUAAACCGAAAUGUCUUCAAUGUAUAGCAACA
ensembl:lncRNA